rnacentral:ribozyme from 1 species
GGGGGGCUAAAUCCGAUCUCUACCUCCUCGAGGUGCCCCCCGGACAACUGCUUUCAGAAGCAGGCCGACAGAGACGG